rnacentral:rRNA from 1 species
CAGUAGCCGCGGGAAUACGUAGGUGGCAAGCGUUGUCCGGAAUUAUUGGGCGUAAAGCGCGCGCAGGUGGUUUAAUAAGUCUGAUGUGAAAGCCCACGGCUCAACCGUGGAGGGUCAUUGGAAACUGUUAAACUUGAGUGCAGAAGAGGAGAGUGGAAUUCCACGUGUAGCGGUGAAAUGCGUAGAGAUGUGGAGGAACACCAGUGGCGAAGGCGACUCUCUUGUCUGUAACUGACGCUGAGGAGCGAAAGCGUGGGGAGCGAACAGGAUUAGAUACCCCCGUAGUCCCUGUCUCUUAUAC